GACGAACGCUGGCGGCGUGCCUAAUACAUGCAAGUCGAGCGAAGCGGCGGACGGGUGAGUAACACGUAAGGAACCUACCGAUAAGCGGGGGACAACAUCCGGAAACGGGUGCUAAUACCGCAUACUUAUCGAUGGCCUUGCGGUGCAUUAGCUCGUUGGUGGGGUAACGGCCUACCAAGGCAAUGAUGCAUAGCCGACCUGAGAGGAUAAUCGGCCACAUUGGGACUGAGACACGGCCCAAACGCCUACGGGAGGCAGCAGUAGGGAAUCUUGCGCAAUGGGCGCAAGCCUGACGGAGCAACGCCGCGUGAGUGAAGAAGGUUUUCGGAUCGUAAAGCUCUGUUGUAAGAGAAGCGGUAUCGUACCAGAAAGCACCGGCUAACUACGUGCCAGCAGCCGCGGUAAUUC
rnacentral:rRNA from 1 species